GCGGGUGUAGCUCAACUGGCGGAGCAUCUCUCUUCCAAAGAGAAGGUUGCCGGUUCGAACCCGGUCACCCGCU
rnacentral:tRNA from 1 species